GGGUUGUGAGGUUAAGCGACUAAGCGUACACGGUGGAUGCCCUGGCAGUCAGAGGCGAUGAAGGGCGUACUAAUCUGCGAUAAGCGCCGGUAAGGUGAUAUGAACCGUUAUAACCGGCGAUACCCGAAUGGGGAAACCCAGUGUGAUUCGUCACACUAUCAUUAACUGAAUCCAUAGGUUAAUGAGGCGAACCGGGGGAACUGAAACAUCUAAGUACCCCGAGGAAAAGAAAUCAACCGAGAUUCCCCCAGUAGCGGCGAGCGAACGGGGAGGAGCCCAGAGCCUGAAUCAGCAUGUGUGUUAGUGGAAGCGUCUGGAAAGGCGCGCGAUACAGGGUGACAGCCCCGUACACAAAAGCGCAUGUGCUGUGAGCUCGAUGAGUAGGGCGGGACACGUGGUAUCCUGUCUGAAUAUGGGGGGACCAUCCUCCAAGGCUAAAUACUCCUGACUGACCGAUAGUGAACCAGUACCGUGAGGGAAAGGCGAAAAGAACCCCGGCGAGGGGAGUGAAAAAGAACCUGAAACCGUGUACGUACAAGCAGUGGGAGCACAGGUUUACCUGUGUGACUGCGUACCUUUUGUAUAAUGGGUCAGCGACUUAUAUUCUGUAGCAAGGUUAACCGAAUAGGGGAGCCGGAGGGAAACCGAGUCUUAAUUGGGCGUUAAGUUGCAGGGUAUAGACCCGAAACCCGGUGAUCUAGCCAUGGGCAGGUUGAAGGUUGGGUAACACUAACUGGAGGACCGAACCGACUAAUGUUGAAAAAUUAGCGGAUGACCUGUGGCUGGGGGUGAAAGGCCAAUCAAACCGGGAGAUAGCUGGUUCUCCCCGAAAGCUAUUUAGGUAGCGCCUCGUGAAUUCAUCUCCGGGGGUAGAGCACUGUUUCGGCUAGGGGGCCAUCCCGGCUUACCAACCCGAUGCAAACUGCGAAUACCGGAGAAUGUUAUCACGGGAGACACACGGCGGGUGCUAACGUCCGUCGUGAAGAGGGAAACAACCCAGACCGCCAGCUAAGGUCCCAAAGUCAUGGUUAAGUGGGAAACGAUGUGGGAAGGCCCAGACAGCCAGGAUGUUGGCUUAGAAGCAGCCAUCAUUUAAAGAAAGCGUAAUAGCUCACUGGUCGAGUCGGCCUGCGCGGAAGAUGUAACGGGGCUAAACCAUGCACCGAAGCUGCGGCAGC
rnacentral:rRNA from 1 species